GCCGCCUGUGCGCCUCUGCUGAGUCGUCCUGCACUCAUUGGAUCAGCUGACUACCUAGACCAGUAACCUGGCUCAAUCAGUUCUGCCAUUCCACCCAGGAACAGAAAACAGCAAGAAAACCUCACUUUGACUCCCUGUGAUUCCGUCUUCAACCUGACCAAUCAGCACUCCCCGCUUCCCAAGCUCCUACUCGCCAAAUUAUCUUUAAGAACUCUGAUCCUCAAAUGCUCAGG
rnacentral:lncRNA from 10 species